CCGCACCGUCUCCCCGAGAGCAACCUUGUUGCCGCGGGAGAUGAUGCGAAGAACAGCCACCAGACCUGGCACCAGCGCCAUGGUCAGGCGUCUCCAUCCCCCUUCAGGCUAGGGGACAUCGCAGGAACAGGACCCUACGGGUCCAAUGCUCUUCUACUGAUCCCACUUAAGCUGAGGGAUGGUGCGCACGCCCACUCCGGUCUUCCCCCACCACUCGCAAGCAUUCUCCUAGCACCAAAGCCUGAAAAGCCAGGCCACCCCAUCUGGGGGCCGGUCACGAAAGGCAAAGGAAAACAUUACGAGGCUUAGGCAGUGUUGGAAGAAAGAGCAGGGAGGUUGGAGAAGAAAGGGAACCCUACGACCCCUAUUUAUAGCUGCGUCGGGCGCCAAGCUUCGGCCAUGCCGAAGGGCGGAGACUUGGACCGCCCGUGAUGGCGCAGCACUCCACGAGCAAAGGAUGCCCUCGGUCACCGCGCCGAGACGCGACUGAACAAAAUAAAGCGAAGCUGAGCCCCUGGACGCUAGGCGGCACAGCAUCGGCCUAGGCCGACCGCCCUCGAAUGGCGCGCCGCAAGGCAACCAGGGAAGGCGGGGCCAAGGCCCUAAGUGCGGGACAGCACGACGAAAGCACCAGCUGCCAAGCAGCGGGCGCCAUCGUCGCCCUGGCCCCCCUCAGCGCGCAGACAUGUCUUGUCCUUGAAACAAACAAACAAAGAGGCGCGCGCCUCGAAGUACUCCCCCCGCGGGCACGCUACCCCGACCGGCGUGUUGUCACAUCCGCCGGGCUGGCGCUCAUGCGCAUCUGGCGGGUGCGCGGCAUUUGACUGAUCACGUCAAAGGGGAAAUCGCUGAAUCACCCUUUGGCCGAAUCCUUUGACUCGACCAAAGCCUCGGGGGCUACUGUCGGGUACCACGAUUAGGGACACCCUAAUCGGGGUACUAAGAUCGCUUUAAAACGCAAACACAUGAUUAAGGCAACUGGGCCCACGAAGGCCCGCGGCCUCCUUCCAACCUGGAAGAAAGCAAAGGACUCAAAGAAGCCCAGCUUAUGGCCCAUUCGCACCCCUCUUGGGCCCACGGGACAAUCUCUGCCUCGUUCGAGGGCUCCCGUCGAGACCCCUCGACUGCGCCCCGCAUCUCCACCUCGCUCGAGGGUAGCGAACCUACCCUCGAGCAUGCGACGCACCUCCGCCUCGUUCGAGGCCACCCCUCGGCAUAAAGGACAAACGGCCCCGCCGCUCAACCGCUUGUCGUACGGGGGAAUUAAAAGCCGACCAUUCCUCCACGGCGCCUAAGACAGACGGUGUCAGACCGCCAUUCUUCAUGAUGGCUGCGACCGGAGUCCCAUCCGUCGGCUUCGGACACUGCUUCGCCAUCUCGGAUGCUGUGGCGGCACUGUGGAACCUGCGACGCGGGACAAGACGCGCUCAGCACAAUCCCCGUUACUAUUCUGCCAACUCCGGUUGACCGGACUCCACCUCAUCAUACGUAUGGCCCCGGACCCACCUCCUGCUUGGGAGGGGGGCCGGUGUCGCCACGGGCCCCUCGAAGAGGGAUGCCCAUCACCCGCGGCCGGAGCCCCGGACCCCCCUCGAGGGGUCCAGGACCUCCACGUGCCUCCCGGACCUCCUAAUGUACACGCCAGUACUCCGACCAGGGGAUCCAGGACCGCCGCGUGCCUUGCCACCGCUGGUGCACGCAAGACUUUGACCUGCGGGGCCCGCAGAAUGCCACCGCUGGAGUACGCUGGACCCUGACCUACAGGGCCCACGAAACGUCGUCACGCCACUUGGAGGGGCUGGCAGAACGCCGGCGCGAUCUCCGCAAGACCAAGGACGAUAUCCAGGACGACUGUCGCGCCCAACGACAUGCCCCACAGUGUACUUCCAGUAUUCGGCCACUGUACCCCACGAUUCGGGGGAAAACGACGACUUCCACGCCCCCACUCAUGUGCGCCACCCCUCCUUGUGACUAUAAAAGGAGGAGGCGGGCUUCCUUUAGACUGGCUCGUUCUCUCGCUCUGAGGACGCUCAGACGCUUCUGGGCCUCAGCUACUGCGGUCACCUACGUUCACGAUCAUCGCCAUACCCGACUCCUCUUCUAGCAGAGACCUGGGAGCUUCCCUCCCUCUCUCGCCUCGCUUGUACCCCCUACUACAAGCACAUCGGGUGCAAGAUAGUUGGGAUCCGGGCCCCCGGGUCGGGACACCGACAGUUGCACACUUGAGGGCAGGGUGUGCAGCCCUCAGUUUUGUUUUGACCGGUCUGACCGGUGGUUGGUUAGGCCAGGUAGCACCGGUCUGACCGGUGAGACGUACCGGUCUGACCGGUGGUGUUAGAACUGAACCAGUGAAGUAAUGUAGUUGUAUGUUUUCUUUUCCAUUUGAGUUUGGCUACGCUAUGUAAAGUUUGUAAAUUAUGUAAUUUAUGUAAAUUAUGUGAGCUUGUGUUUGAAACUCAAUAUGUGAAACUCUCGUUAUCGGUUGUCAUCCUUAUAUAUUUUCAAGUAUUUUGUCGUGCUUGUAUCAUCUGCGCCCGCCUUCGCGUGGGACUUCCAGUGUUGUUUCAAUCGGGCCGUGGGUUGAGAAAAGACCGUCAAAUUAAACCAUUAAGCUAAUGCGCCCGAUGUGUUCAAAUGACGGUCAUUACGCUUAAUUUAGAGUUUUAAUUUUUUAAUUUGGCGGUUCCGUCACAAUAUGCACACUCAUGUUUUGAGCAAAGUUUAUAAAGUACAAUGUUGAGACACGUAACAAAGACGACUAGAAGUAUAAAUCUUUCCGUUCUCUGUGUGCAAUAUCACAGAGAGAGGGUUCUAUAACAGAACUAGAUCUACUGUAUCCAAUAACAGAGAAGAGAUUACACGAUUUUCAUUACUGAUCAUUCACUGCAGAGUUAGUGACAGAUGUUGAAGGUAUGGUGUUGAGAACACACACAUAACAAAGACGACCGUCAGCACAGGAGCAUUGAGACAAGUUGUGGUCAGGGGCGACGCCACGUUUAUCUUGCCUGGUCCACGUGCACCAGGAAAGAGGAAACAAAUGAAAAUCUUGAGCUAUUUAGUGUAAUAUUACGUGAUAUAAUUAUAGAGUUGCACCAGAGACUAUGUGGCCAUCCCAAGACUUUGACUUUAUGAUAGUGUUUCACACUGUCACCGGGGCUUAUGAGUCGUGAGUCCUGACAUUGACGGGUAUGGAUUCUUGUGUCCAUCAUCGGAUUCAUAGACUUUUUGUGUCCAAAGAUGUCGUCAUGGGAUCAGCAAGAACUUGUCCCCUUGUCAGUGGUCACAUAGUUCCUCUGACGUGGGGACAAACAAGCGCGAAAGCUACUCGUCCCGGGAAACUUCCCGGCAAUUGAGCUCCCUGCGCCCCUUGCUUUCCCCUCCACUCUCCAGAGCAGCGCUGAUCUUCUUGCCGUCCAUGGCGAAGAAAUCCAAGAACCACUCUGCCCGAAGAGCCGCCUCCUCUUCGUCAGCGGCAGGACGUGAUGACCGUACGCCAUGGCUCCGGCUGACGGCUUUCGCCGUGCUCACCGUCCACUCGGCCUUCUCCGGUUACCUAGCCUGGGACGACGCCAGGCUGGUCGCGCUGGUCGCCGUCGGCUACCUCCUGAUGCUGGUGCUGCUGUUCUAUGGCGGCCUGCCUGGGCUCCAGAAGAGAGACUAGCCGGCAGCCACGGCCAACCCAAGAGGUCAUAUUAUCUUCAGAGCGGUGGUCAUUCUCAUCUCCUGGUUUAUGUGGAAGGAAAGAAACAACAGAACUUUUGAUCGUGUCUCCAACUCGGUACCUCAGUUACUCUCCCUGCUGCUGGACGAGUUAAUUGCCUGGUUCUGGGCAGAUUGUAAGCGACUAGAACCGCUCUUGUUGUUGCUUGGUAGAUUGCCGGGUCGCGAAUUGCCGACUGUGUAAUUUUCCCUUUAUUGUAUCUCUUUCUAGGUUGUGUUUCCGCUCUCUGAAACCAACCUGUUUGUUGUCGCUGUACUUUGUUUCUCUUCCUCUUAAUGAAAAACAGCAUGACCAGGUACCAUGAGAUAAGACCUGUUUUUCCUGGUUCUGAUUUCCUGCCUAAUUUUAUCUAGAUUUGGAGGUUGUGUAGCUGUGUUUGUGUACAAAGCUGUGUAUGUUGACGAACAUGGUUGUAGCUUUGUAUGUUACAUGCCCCAAGAUACUUACAGUUGUAUCAGCAACUGGGCAGCCUGUACAGGCUGCAGGGUUCAAGAUUGUACACUUACACUAGUGUUACAAUUAUUGUGUACAUGUACUGAUCUCGACUGCUUUCUAUGGAUCUUUUUUACGUUUUG